GAACUCUCUUCAGCAGUACAUGUACUAAAAUUGAUAGGAUAAGAGAAGAUUAGCAUGGCCUCUGCGCAAGGAUGAUAUGCGAAAUCGUGAAGCGUUUCGCAUUUUU